UGACGGCAUUGUGCUCUAGUCACGGCCAGUGCUGAUGGCUGAAAAAUUCUCUGUCCUCUGGCCAAACGUGGGGGCAGAGCAGCAGUAACAACCCGGUGCUGCAAUGUCUGCCCCCUGGCAGGUGGAGGGAUUGCCCUGGUGCAUAAAUACGUUCAUGAGUUUGCCUGUUAGCUGUAUGAAAAGCUGAGCCAAUGCCUUUCAUGCAGUUAGUUAUCCCCGUGUUUCCUUUCUGCAAUUAAGGAUGUGGGUCAUCUUGCAGAGUACAAGAUCAGGCUGAUGGAUGUGCCUGUGCUGAGUGGGCAGAAGUCAGUACCGAUGAGCUAUGUAUACCACGGAUUUCAGAGUGAGGGUACAUCCCAAGGAAAAUUAUUUCAGUGCUAUAAAGGUGCAGAAGUAAGACAUCUGGAAAAAGAAAGAAAAGCACCUUUUCCCUGUGUCCCAAUGUCUCAGCCUGUAGCAUGUGAUACUGAAAUAAGGCACAGAGGUGAAGAAAGCCUAAGGCAAAGAGGGAAGAACACAAAGGGAAAGAUGUUUACACUUAAUGAAAAACCAGUCAAAGAAUUGUUCUUGUCUGAGGAUUUUAAAGAGUGAUGGGUUUGGUAGCCAAAAUUAUGCCUAACUACUCUUUUUUUGUAGUAUAUUUGCCUUCUCAUUCUGAGAAAGGUACUAGACAAGUUCUUAUUCUUGAACACUUGUGUGUGAGUCUUAGUAUGAAAAUAUGAGCAAUGAGCCCAGCAUCCUAAACCCUAUUAUAUUUUCAUAAAUAAGAUUCCAAGACCUUCCUGAAAGUAUAAAGGAAUGUUCUGUGGCAUAACUGAGCCUGUUUGUUCUUGGAGGAUUUGUAAACUGGAGAUUUCAUUCUCCUCUUGUGUUUGUGUGAAGUCAGAACCCUUUAUGUCUGCACUAGUGGAAGUAGUCUGAGAGGGGACUCAGACCCUGUAGCUUUACAGAGACAAAGAAUAAUAGAAUCCCUCAAUAACCAGAUUAAAGAAAGGAUCAAAAGUCUGUAAGAAAAAAAGAAAAAAAGGAAAGAGAUGUUGAGAGAAGGUGGUGGUGGAGCAAAAGAGGCAGGAGGCAAAGGCAUAUGCCAAAAGCUGAGUAAUGACAGCAAAAUACUACAGAAGUAGGUUUGAGCUGUGAUGGGGAAAACCUGAAUUACUUCUAGGUACAGCAGAUAAAUUCAAAAGAUUGCAAAGUAUGGGAAAGAAUGAAAACUUAGAAACCAAAUGACAUCCCAUCUGUGUACUUAAAUCUUGAAUACCACAAAAUCCAGCCAAUUUAAUCUCUAAUAAAUUCAGGGAAGCAUAAUUACGUUACCUGCUUCUUCUUGGGACACUCAUUUGAUCCGAGCAGGAUGUCUGUAUGUAUAGCAAAUUUGCUGAAAUGCAUCUGUUACCGAAAUCUCAGAAUAAAGAACUUAUCGACACCAAUGUGAUGUAGAUAAGCAGACACUUCUUUAUUAACGGCCGGGUGCACGAGUGAGUCAUCUCACGAUGGACGCACACCAAGUUUCAAAACCAUACACCUUCUAUAGGACUUACUCAUACAUAUUCAUUAAGUAAUCAUGCAUAAACAUAGUAUUUCCCAAAAAUCAUUAACAUACUCCCCUCCCAUAUCCAAUUCUGCGCAGUAAAGGUUAGAAAGGUCUAGAAAUGGGUCUGGGGUAUUAUUCGGGUAGGUGGUACAUGAGUCGGUGGUCGCGAUACCCCCUGCCAGAAUUACCUUUUACCUACAUUCACCGUUUCUUGGCAGGUAACUAUGAGUUGCUUAAUUCGACUUCCCCCAGUUCCCAUUAAUUCUACAUUUUGACAUCUCAAUACAUUCUCCUAGGCUACACGUAAACACUGUAUCCAAUCAUGCAUUCAAUCAUGAAACUGUUAUCUAAGUUCUAAGCAUUCCUACUAGGUGAUUCUGACCCUUGGUACGGGGCUGUACAGAGGAUUUCAUAGUAGCUGUCAGUUGCUAUGCAAACACAAAUUCCACUAAAAUAUUUCCUAUAACUAUAUUCCUAAUCAAAUGUGGUUAAUUAAUUCUAACUUAUAGCAGAUAUGUAACACGUCAUGACAGGAUCUGUAUAUGAUGUUAUGACAGAGUUAGCUGAUACUGCCAUCAUGGGCAAUUUAAGUAACAUUAAAUACAUGAAGAAAGACAACUGGAAAAGCUGCAGGAUGUUGAUGGGCGCAGCAAGUACCACUCCUUGUGACCUCUUCUUAGCUUACUUUUUAAGGUCACAAUGAGAGAGAAAUCAUCAAUCUCUUCAUAUUGGACUAAACCACAGCACAAAUGAAGGUUGAUAUUCAGCCUUUGUCCCCUCAUGCAGAAUCUCUAUUACCAUACAGGAUUAUAGUAUGACUUGCUUUACUUAAUUUGUGUUUGUUAUCAAGUAAUCAGAAAUACUGGCAAAGUUUUUCGCUGUCUUAAGAUCCCUAGAUGAGACAACUGACUUCAGUGGAGCCAGAAUCUCACUGUCUAGUCCUGGUCGAAGGACCCUGAGUGCACAAGUAAAACCCUGGCAUGCGGUGUGCACACUUCUGAGGCAGAGCGUUGCGUUUUGUGAUGUCCAGCUGAUAGAAGGCAACACGUUAUAGCACAUACCCUUCACCCACACCUCUGGGCCUUCUGAUGCUACUUAGAUCAUUCCUUUCCCUCCUGGAACUUUCACUCAACAAAUUUGCAUUUCCUAAUCAGUUCACUUCCCUGCAGCAGUGGGAUUUAUUAUUUGUAAGUAAUGUCAUACUGUAUCUUUGAUACAAGCUUUUGCAAUCUCUUUGUUGUGCAAAUACAGCCAUAUAACUCAACUAAACUAAUUGGCUUCGGUAGGAUUAUCCUAGGAGAUAUAAGUGCCACAUUAUAUGAAUAAAUACUGCUCUCCAAGAGGCAGAUUCUGCAGUCCAGUACAACUUUAUUUUUUGAAGGAAAAGGGGUAGCAGCACAAGUCAGUAGUUAAACCAAGAUGAUAAUCACUUUCCUGUUCAGUUUAUCUGCAGACAUGAGAGACUCAGCAACACUAUUAACAAUACACCAUAUUCAUAUUUACAUCUCAAAUUGUCGUUCCUUUUCAUGUGGAGGAAGGGAGAAGGAUUGUGUUGCGUUCUGCAGAUAGGAGAGCAGCCACAGAAGAAGUGAAGGGAUUUAGGGUAACCCGGCAUCCCAUGGGAAGGGUCAUCUGGCUUCCAGCUUCUAGCCAAGGGUGUCUUAGCCAGAAGGCAGUAAUGUCAACAGGGACUCUGUCCAGCUUGUACAAUGCAUUUCAAAAUCUUUUAGGCACCUAUUAAAAAGGAGUACUGAAGUGGUAAGAUAAACCAGGUGCUAUAGCUGGUAUUGCAAACAGCAUUUUUGACAACCAAAGUGAAAACAGAAGCAUUCCUUGAACUCUUCAAUAUUUUUUUCCAGCCGUCUUUCACUGUGUGAAACUCUGUUAUUAUGUGGGGGUGGAUUCAGCAAUUUCCAAGAUAUUUUUAACUUGGGUAGUUUUGCUGGUAAGUGGAAAGUCACAAGUUAAAUCAGAAGCCAGCAUUUGAUGAAGGCUUCUUGUUUUAAGUAGGGGUGCCAUGUUGCUAAAACUUUUUUAUAAUUUAGAUGGGAAUACUGCUGCAGUUGUUGAUGUUCCUUCCAUUUGGAGUUUCCUAGAUGGCAAUUUACUAUUGUUUUUGUUUAGAAGUGUGGGAAAAUGGUAAUUGUGAUAACUACCUUCAGCAGGAAAUAAAGAAAACUGCUGAUUACUGCAUAGAGUUCUGUAUCUGCAGUAAAUUCAAACGGGGUGAGACUUUGCAAACAUUUGGUGUUUCAGGGUGACUGUGAUGAUGUGAGUAGAAAACCACAUGUAUUUUGAUUUAAUUCACAUCCACUCACAUGAAGUCGAUGAAAGUACUGCGUUCAUUCUUGAGAGGGAGACCCUUUUUUACCUUUAAAGUACUGAAGCUGCUGAGCAAAACAAAUAAUCCUUUCUACAGUAUAAAAUAUUAAACAUCAGCAAUUUCCUUUUUCUUAUGUCUCAUCAUUCUCAGAAGAUACCCUAGGAAGAUGUUGGAAAUUAUGCUCUUCCAAUUAAGUUGCAUGCACUCCAACAGUAUUCAGCAAAAGGCUGCUUAAUGUCCAGAGACAAAAAACAUCUAAUUAAUCAGUCUUUGUGCACAGAAGAGAGCAUUAUAUUUUUUUAAAGAAAUUACAUAAAAACUGGAAACUGGUGAUGUGUUCAAAAGGAAGAUACAGCGGUGGGGUGCUGUAUGAGCUUCACUUUCUAAAUGAUGUUGAGCUUUUUUUCUGAACUAUCCAGGACAUGUCCAGUAAAAGCAAACUAAAAUCUGCAAAUUUUACCCUGUAAAGAAAAGAUUAUUCUUUGUCUUUCAGACUCAAAUAAAUAAUUGUAAUAUCUAACUACUGAUAUUUUUUAUAUUGUUAUCUUUGUAUCCUGAUAAUAAUUUUCUUCAUUGUAGGUUCUCACUCUUAUUUACGUUAGUCUGGCGAGUUUUAUGAAGUGAAUGAGUUCCUGAAUGAAAACACAACCACUUAUUUCUGAAGAUCUAGAAUAAGAGCUUGAAUUCUGAAUUGCAGGGAGAGUAGGUUCAUAUCAACUCACUUGUGUGUAAUCAGUAAGUUAGCAAAACAUGAAUGCUACUGAUUUCUUCAUUCAUAUUUCUUUUAUCUGGCUUGCUCCCCCCUCCCCCUUCAUUUGCCAUGUUGUCUGUACCAGUGACUAAGGAUCACUAGCUGGAGAGGAUGGCAGUCACCUGCAUUUCAAGUUUUCAGCUGCCUGUGCUCUUUGAACCAUGGCGUCAGUGUUAACAGCGUUAGUCCUUCAUCUGUCAGCAUUAGAUGGGCUGGAUGCUCAUAUUCUAGGGCUCUUAGGAACAGAAUCUCCCUUUGCUUUGUCAGAGUUUGCUCCUUUUGACCCAUGGCUUACUCUCUUUGACCAGCGGAAUCUCUGAAUACCUUACAUCUGAUUGCCUCUUGGCUGCUGCUUGUCAUUUCUGGACUGUGGAUAUCUGGUCCGGCUGUCUCACGUUUUUGAGGCAUGCUAGAAUAGGAAAAGAUGCAAACUGUUUCUCCCCUGAUCACGUACAGGAAAUGAAAUCUGACAGCACCUUGGUGGAGCACACUGCAUCAUGUCAAGAAGUAGAGAAUCUUGCUCAUAGCUUGUGAAGAGGUGUUUUUUCAUCCUUCUAUGUAAAGCAGUGCUAUAUAAAUGUCACGUUACACUGAAUACAUACCAAGAAUUUGACUAAUAUAAUGUGAUUAUAGUCGGAAUUAGCACACCAAAAAUUCUAUGCCCCAGUGGGAAAGGCUGUUAGUAUAAUAGCGACUAGGAGGUCCAUGAGGAGCAGAGCAAAACCAGAGCUUCUUGCUUACAUUCCUGGCAUCUUCGGGAGACAGAGAAGUAGCUGUUGUGAACUAGAGGGGAACGUUUAAGAGGUGGGCUGAUAGCAGCAUUUUCUGAGCUGCUGAAAGGAUGCCUGUGGAGUCCUGUGGGAUCCACCCUCUUUACCCAAUACCUCUUGCCAGACCAGGCAAGGGAUCCCACGUGGUGGUGUGGGGACAGUCUGAGAUAUUAACUCUUGGAGAUUAAGAGGAUGAUGCAGUUUGCUUUGAGCAUUGCAUCUGGAAGAAGUCCAGUGAUUCACAGUGCGGGGAGAAUGCGAAGAAGAGACAAGACAGGCAGCUUGCAUUUUCUGACUGUUGAGUGGCUCUGUAGCUCUGAGACCAUCCUGCCACAGCAAAUCCUCAAAUCUGACAGCUUUUCUCUUUCAGGCAUGGACUACUCUUUGAUCCUAUAAAUUUUAUCUUGGUUUUCAUUAAACACCCCUGUAAGUGGCAAGUAGUGUAGCUCAUUGCCAGUGAGUCAGCAGAAUGCAAGUGUCAUCAGCUAAAUAUCCAGGAAUGUUACAUUCGAAAGUGACAAAACCCCAUAAGGUAUUUUCUCUGGACUUUGUAGUUUGCACUCAGUAGCAGGCUUUAUCACACAAACCCAGCUGUGGUUUUUGGGGUUUUAACCUCUUCUAGGAGAGACUGCCUAUCUUUUGAUUUUCUCCCUUUUUUUUAAAUCCUGUAUUUACAAGCAGAGCUGGUAAAAUAAAAGCACAUUCACUGGGGAAGGUUUGGAAAACCUAGAGUAAUCUCAUUGAGAUGAGUGAUGGUUUCAGACCUUACUGUCAAAAUAUGGAGUCCAAAAAUCUGUCUCCUUCUCACAGAACUUCAGGGCCAAAUAUUUCCAUGGCAUAAAUAGAUGUAAAUCCACUACAGAAAGUGCAGUUAUAUCCAUUCACCAAUGGUGGUUUUUUUUGUUGAUAGCAUCUUUCAAUAUUACAAUUAGCAGUCUUUAAAGAGAUCAAAACCUCCUUUGGUGCUUCAGUGCAAAUGCUUUAUUUUUCUUCUCUUCUGACUAAUUGUCUCCAUCCUGACGCCUCUGAGUGAAUUAAGUAAUGUGUCAUACACAUUUUAGCUUUUCUCUUUACUUCCUUUCUGACACUUGUAGGCAGUACAGAGUUGGUUCUCUCCUUCAUUUCUGAAUGCCCACACUUUCAUGGCUUUCUGAUAGAGAUGUCAGACUGGAUGAUAGUUGUUUUUACUUCAGGUGGAACAUGAUGGGGGUUUUGGUUCCUAAUGUGCCCAUUCCACAUACCAAGACUCAGUUCCGCAACAGUUUGUAGAUGCCAAACUCUGUUAGGUGGUAAUUGUCGAUGGGACAUGAGGUACCAAAGAAAGCAUUCACAGCUCUGUAGCUGUGACUUACUGGUUUCCUGUAUGGAUGAGCUUUGUUCAUGUGAUUGAAAUUUUUGUUCCAAACAGAGCCAAGUGAAGGAGAUUAAAUUCUCAGCCAGGUGAGACCUACUUGUGUGUCUCAGGAGAGACAGUUUGGACCAAUGUCAAAAUGGCUGGUGAACUGAGAUGCUGUUUUGCCAAUAGAUGAGGUCAGCACAAAGGAAUCAGACACCUAGUUAAAGAGCAGAGCAUUCCAGCCAUCACUCCAGGAAGAAUGAAAGAGGAGAGGACAGAGCAGAUCACGUACCCAGUGAACCUGAAAGUAAACAGUAGCUAACUCUUCGUCCUUUUACAGUGGUUAUCUCUCCUCUGUCAGCAGAGUAGGCUUUUUAUAACAAAUCCUGCAUCAAGUUGCUGAGAUAGGCUAGCAAGUGGGUAGUUUCUGUUUCUGCCAAAGGAACACAAUAUAUUGCUUUCAUAAUCUCUUAGAUGUGACAUUAUUCCUUCAACAUCAAACCUUUGUUGGAAAUUACUGGUUUUAGAAGUGACCUAAGGAUGCCAUCUUCAAGCUUGAUGUUGUAUAUUUGACAGCACUUCAGGUAUAAGAAGUACUGCCAUUUCCUUCUGGCUGGUCUUUUGUGUGUGUGUAUGUGUUUUUCACUAGGCAAUGGAGGCACAGAAAAAAAAUUUUCAAAUGGAAAGUAUUUUUACAAAAUCACAAGUGUUGCUGGCUCAUGAGUAUUCCAGGGCACAUGAAGUUCCUGGAAACAUUUUCAAACACAUUUUUGUGUCACCCCUUUUUGGUGGCUGAUAAAAUGAAUUUGUAUCUUUGAAAAGUCCCAUUACUUGGACUCCUUGGGUGUUGCAGAGCUUUUUGUGUGCUGUAUUAGUUUAGGUUCCUAAACAAUAGCCUAACAUUAGAUAUCCACUUAUUAAAAAUACCCAAACUCUUCAUCAUGAGUUUCACAUGUCAACAAGCAAGCCAGUCCAUUUUGUAGAGGACUAGUAGUAGUGCCUGCACACUGUACAGCUGUGCAAGAGUGCUCUUCGAUCUGCCAGUGCAGAGAUAAGACCCUGCUAAAAGGAAGUAUUUACUUUAGAAGCUCUCUUUGAUGGGUUCUGUCAUUUAUGAGAGUUGAGCUCUGUCUGCUAAAUUCCACUAAACAAGGUAUCAGCUUUUUAGCACGAGGCUUUGGGGUGCUAUAUCCUUACACAUUACAAAAGGCUUGGUACUAAAUGUGACAAGGCAGCCCAGUUUACAAAUGCAGUGAAUUUUAUCUGCCAUGCAGUGCAAUUUGGGCUUUCAAGGCUGUAGAGGCUCUUUCAGCUUUGUCCUUAGAUCAAGGUUAUAAAUUUGAUAUGUGUGUGUGCACCUAGGAUAUAGAAAGAUAAGGAACAAAUUCUUCACUGGCCCACCCCUUAAUGUCAAGAACAUUCUCAUUGACUUCAAUGACCAGCAAUCACCCUCUGCCAAUACCAUGUAGAUACUGUUUUCUAUAUCCAUGUUAUUCAGUGUCACCCCAUCAAUGUUGCACCCAUUCUGUUUGCUACCACAUUAGUUCUGAAGGAAUUCAGUGAUGUGCCGGUCGUGGUUCUGCGCAGUCACAAGAGGAUGUACAUGCCCCAGGGAUGGGGUACAGUCUUCAUAAAGCCUGAGGCUCUGCUUAAGGUUGGUUUAUCUCUGUGGGUUUCAACAACAUGGUGACUCCUGUCUAUUUCUCAGCUACAGUUAUUGAAACCAUGACAAGGUGUGCACUGGUACAGCACCCAGAACUCCACAGAACAAUCUGGGGUCAGAAUGUUAGAGCAAAUUGGUUUUUCACUAGACUUUACACAAGAAAAUUAUGUGCUAUUUCCCUUGUUUCCUCCCAGAUUUGUACUACGGGUACACUUCACUACCACCUGAAUUUCCCAAGAAAUUCACACUGCUGGCACAGCUAUAUCAUUAAGAGGCUCCUGCAGCUGGUAAGAAAAUGACACUGCACCUAAACCCGUCGACUUCUGAGACUCUCCUUGGAUAGUAACGCUUCUUGUAUUGAGCCAUGAGAUCCAUAUGAAGGUUGACAUUGCUCCCUUGGUUGCUGACGUUACAGUUGUGUUUCAAACAUUACCUUAUCACACAGGCAUAUUUCUCCUGAUGUUUGACAAAAAGCAGGAAGCUAUUUCUGAUAUGACAAAACUAUUUUCCUGACUCUGAGGGACCCUGGAGGAGUAAACAGAUGUCCUACAGACUGUAUGUGCACUCUAAUAAAAAUGCAGCAAUCACC